GUCCAGAGCCCGAUGUAUGCUACUACGGGCCCCGGGGUUUACCCCCCGGCCGCCCCUGGGCCCCACCGCGGGCGCCCGCCGGAGGUCACCAAACUCUUGAUAAUUUAUGGCCUCUCUGAGUCUUCUGUACUGAAUAAGUCAAAACUUUCAACAACGGAUCUCUUGGUUCUGGCAUCGAUGAAGAACGCAGCGAAAUGCGAUAAGUAAUGUGAAUUGCAGAAUUCAGUGAAUCAUCGAAUCUUUGAACGCACAUUGCGCCCGCCAGUAUUCUGGCGGGCAUGCCUGUUCGAGCGUCAUUUCAACCAUCAAGCCCCGGGCUUGUGUUGGGGACCUGCGGCUGCCGCAGGCCCUGAAAAGCAGUGGCGGGCUCGCUGUCACACCGAGCGUAGUAGCAUACAUCUCGCUCUGGGCGUGCUGCGGGUUCCGGCCGUUAAACCACCUUUUAACCCCAGGUUGACCUCGGAUCAGGUAGGAAGACCCGCUGAACUUUAAGCAUAUCAAUAA
rnacentral:rRNA from 1 species